CUCACCUGCCGGGAGCUCUGGAAAAGGGAGGCAGGUGACUUUGCCAUUAGUUGACUACAAAAAUUUGUGCUGCGUCGAUAACAACCGCGUCGAUUCCUCCGAUUCCAACAAAAGCGACCUAUCAAGGAAAGGCAGCAUUAGGAGUGCGGAAAUUAUCCUGAAGUCUUCCAGAAAUUCCGAAUCAAACAAACAUUCGAUUUCGAAGGAAAAGGCCGACUCCAGAAGGCUUUAUUCAGUCACGGACCAUUCCAAGAAAAGCCAGUUCUCUUGAAGCUCCGUCCUAUUUUAUCAAGUCCAAAAACAAUGUAAAGAGCAAUAAACCUUCCACAUGAAUAAUAAGUUACU
rnacentral:lncRNA from 1 species